UACGUAGGUGGCAAGCGUUGUCCGGAUUUACUGGGCGUAAAGAGCGCGCAGGCGGUCGUUCAAGUCGCGUGUGAAAGCCCCCGGCUCAACUGGGGAGGGUCACGCGAUACUGAUCGACUCGAAGGCAGGAGAGGGUAGUGGAAUUCCCGGUGUAGUGGUGAAAUGCGUAGAUAUCGGGAGGAACACCAGUGGCGAAGGCGCUACCUGGCCUGUUUCUUGACGCUGAGGCGCGAAAGCUAGGGGAGCAAACGGGG
rnacentral:rRNA from 1 species